CAGUCGCCGCGGGAACACGAAGGGUGCAAGCGUUAAUCGGAAUUACUGGGCGUAAAGCGUGCGUAGGCGGUGAGUUAAGUCUGCUGUGAAAUCCCCGGGCUCAACCUGGGAAUGGCAGUGGAUACUGGCUCGCUAGAGUGUGUCAGAGGAUGGUGGAAUUCCCGGUGUAGCGGUGAAAUGCGUAGAGAUCGGGAGGAACAUCAGUGGCGAAGGCGGCCAUCUGGGACAACACUGACGCUGAGGCACGAAAGCGUGGGGAGCAAACAGGAUUAGAUACCCGCGUAGUCCCUGUCUCUUAUAA
rnacentral:rRNA from 1 species